rnacentral:lncRNA from 1 species
CAAAUACAUCCCUAAUUCCAGAGUACCUCAUGAACCAGGAAUUGGAACAUGAAGAAAAGAAAGGAAAAAAAUAGGAAAGCAAGAAGAGAAGAAAAAAGACCCUCAGCACUCCUGGAAGCACUUUGCAUGCCGGAGAACCUUCUGUGUAUGUGGUCAUUGAACAGCACAACUUGCCAAGUGAAUUCAUUUCACUUUUCCCUUACCUGACAGCCUCUCUCAUCUAAACACUCCCCACAGUUCCAAAUAGUGUUAUCCCUGACACAACAAACCACAAACUGUUAAUCAAGUAGACACUAUCUUGUGUUGACUGGGGACACAGGAUGAGGGAGGUGGAGAGGCGUUUCUGGGGACCUGGGGAGUUCCCCAUCAGAGUGGAAAUUUAGGAUUAAGGAUGGUGCCAUAUUAGUGCCCAGUGCCAGAUCCAGGAGCCUCAGUAUACUGGAUGAGUUUAAUGUGUCAUGGUGUGUGUACCUGUGAUAUAUGGAGCCCCUGACAGCAUGGACCAGCUCCAGCCCCUUACUGUCAGCAUUGCCAAUUCAGAGUUCCAUACACAGGGUCCGUUUGUCUGGAAAACUGUGAUGGGCUCUAACGACCUAGCAUUUAUCCAUGUCCAACUCCCAAAUUGCCAACCAUAAGGAGUAAUGAAGAGGCUGCAGGCCGGCUGUUUCUGUGACUCACUUUGAGCCACUGUCCCAUUCAGUCACUCCUUCAUUCUGCCCUUACUGUGUGGAGGUACCACUGUGGGCAGAGUGAGCAAGGCAGAUGGUUCUGUCCUCACAGAGCAGAGGGAGAAGACUAAAGGUACAUAUAAUCAAACCAGUAAGUAAGAGAGUUUAAUAGAAGAAUAAAUUUUAAGAAGACAACAAAGCAGAAAAUGGAUUGGGGUGGGGAACUUUGGCUAAGGGGGAGGAAGGUGACCUUUUGGCUGAACCCCGUUGCACCAUCGGAGGUAACUGUACACAUACUGGGUGGAUUAGCUGGCUGGAUUUCCUGAUAUUAGAGGGUUAAGCAGAAUCACUUCUCAAACUUCAACUUGAUGACCAUCUUUCUGAAGUAAUUUCAGGUGCAUUUUCUUAGCAAAGUGAAUAGUGUAACCAAUAUAAACUUCUUCAUACUUCUGGAUAUUCCAGCUGCUUGAUGGUUAGUGCACAAAAGAUAUAGAAUAUGUUGUGAUUAGGCCCAAAUUGGCCUGAAUCCAGAAUUUGUCCUACAAAAAGCAUUAUAUUAGCAGAAUUUUAUAUCAGCUAUUUUUCUACUUCUCUCUUUUUAAUACCAAUAAAGUAAUAAAAAAUUAAAAAUCCCUGAGACUUUGGUAAAAUAACAUUCUUCUAUAACUGAUUUUAAUAUGAAAGACUUGAUUAACCAGGUAAUUUUUUUGCCAUCUGGGGAUUGAAUGCAGGGUGAGUGCAACACAAGUGAUCUACCAAUGAGGUACAUUCCCAACCCUUUUUAUUUUACUUUGAAAUAAAUAAAAUAAAACAAGGUCUUGCUGAGUUGCUGAGGCUGGCCUUGAACUCACUAUCGUCCUACCUCAGCAGUUGAGAUUACAGACAUGAGCCACCAUGUUCAGUUUAACCAGGCAAGUUUUUAAAAAGCAAAAUUAGGUUAUGAACUCCCAUUUUUACCCCGGAUACAGAUUGCAGCAUCACAUCGGUUACACAUCCACUGUUUUACAUAUUGCUAUACUAGUGUCUGUUGUAUUCUGCUGCCUUUCCUAUCCUCUACUAUCCCCCAUCCCCUCCCCUCCCCUCCCCUCCCAUCUUCUUUCUCUACCCCAUCUACUGUAAUUCAUUUCUCCCCCUUGUUUUUUUUUCACUUGAAUCAAAGUGUGAAAUAUGAUUUGUCAAGAACUAUGUAAUGUUUUGAACAACCAACAAUAAAAAUUAAAGAAAAAAAAGCAAAAUUAGUAUAGAAUGUGAUUUUUGGAAAAUGUUUUUAAAAUUCCAGUCCUG